UUCGACCUGAGAUCAGGCGAGAUUACCCGCUGAAUUUAAGCAUAUUACUAAGCGGAGGAAAAGAAACUAACAAGGAUUCCCCUAGUAACGGCGAGUGAAGCGGGAAUAGCCCAGCACCGAAUCCCUCUGGCAUUUGCUCCAGACGGGAAAUGUGGUGUUUGGGAGGUCGACUGCAUCGUCGUCUGUCGUCCGAGUCCUCCUGAUCGGGGCUUCACCCAGAGCGGGUGUCAGGCCUCUACGGUCACGGGCGGCGGUGCUUUAGGCUUCCUAGGAGUCGGGUUGUUUGGGAAUGCAGCCUAAGCGGGUGGUAAACUCCAUCUAAGGCUAAAUACUGACACGAGUCCGAUAG
rnacentral:rRNA from 1 species